CAAACCAGGACUUCACAGUUCUACUGGAGAGCUUCAACGUACGACAUAAGACAUUAGACGAAUGACGACGAAGAACACAGACAACAGGUCGUCACAGUGAGGACAGAUGGCGAGUAGCUAAUGGCACAGGACUGGUUGGAGCACUCGAGUGCAUUCAAGAAACCCGAGCAGACCGGCCCGACCUCAGGUUGAACUUGGAAGCUCUGAUGCACCAGUAGACAUCAGACAUGUGGGAGGAAACCUCUUCUUAAUUAUAGGAAUUCAGGAUGUGGGGUUCAGUGUGGAAGGAUUGCCUCGCAGCCAGACUGCGGUGGCAUGGUCCUGUCAGUCGUAACACUGGUAAUAACAACUCUAAUUCCCUGUUGUGUCAGCAAUUUGCCAGAUGCAAGUUGGCAGAGAGGACUGCGUGCAGGUGGUUUUAACAGGCCACAGCAAAUGACAGAACUCACAACCUUCCACUGUCUCUGCACGUCAACUAAGUCUCUCCUGAUUACAUCUUAUCAACUUCCCUACACUUUAUGGACUGGAUUUUGGACCUUGGACUAUGUUUUUGUUGCUGUUUAUUGCAUAAACUCUGACUCUGGCCUUGCCCUCUUCUGGGUCCUCCAGUCACCACACCGGCCAUGUUUCCAUCAAGGUUUUUUAUGCACAUUUUGUAGUAUUACAGAAAAAAAAAUAAAAAUUAGCAAAAAGGCUUUUAGGCUCACUUGAGGAGUGUUUUGGGAAAUGGAAACCCAAUUGCUGAAUAAGUUCUGACGUAGCAAACUUUCCCAUCCGCUGGCGGGUCUAUGCACGAAAUUUGAAAAAAAUGAUUUCAAAGUCCACACCUCCAGCAAGGGGGGGCAGGGGGGGAGGGGGACUGUCAGCCUGGAGCGGCCCACGAGAGGCACUCUACGCUGGGGAGAGGAGUGGUGGAACCAGGGGUCGUGAUA